rfam:Monodelphis domestica chromosome 1, whole genome shotgun sequence.
UCCCAGGUUUUUUUUGAAACCAUCAUUAAUUUAUUCCAAACUUUAU